rnacentral:rRNA from 1 species
AGAGUUUGAUCCUGGCUCAGAUUGAACGCUGGCGGCAUGCCUUACACAUGCAAGUCGAACGGCAGCACGGGGGCAACCCUGGUGGCGAGUGGCGAACGGGUGAGUAAUAAAUCGGAACGUGCCCAGUAGUGGGGGAUAACCAGUCGAAAGACUGGCUAAUACCGCAUACGACCUACGGGUGAAAGCGGGGGACCGCAAGG